rnacentral:lncRNA from 1 species
AUGUUCUUUUUGUUUCUACUAAAGACUUGGGAAAAUCAACAUACCGAAACCAAACUGUUGCUCGAGGCGAAUUCCAAUGAAAACCAAGCUCAACAUGUUUGCAAAUCUUGAAAAAUAUAAUUAAAUGGAAAAGCUUAAAGGCCCUUAUUAUCAUAUAACACAAAAUCAUCUUUAUCAUGAAAAUGUGUUAAUUAGGCAUGUAUCCACAAGUCAGAUGAUCAGGAUUCAUCAUUUUACAGGAAAGCCCUAAACUUUAAUAAAAAGAAUCAAAGGCCUAAUUGGGUUUGCAAGAAGAAAGGAAGAAAUAAGAAAUUGAAAAGGGUGGGUGUGUGUAAACAAAGAUAACAUACGUAGAAGAAGAAGGGCCGAAAAGGGGAUUCUCUUUAAGAG